GUAUUUCUCCUGGUUUCCAUGAUCAUUAAAAUUUUUUUAAAUUGAUUUUAGGGAAUUUUAAAAGAUCAGGGUUCCCAUAUACUCAUUUUAUUUUUAUUUAUUUAAUAAAUAAUAUAUUAUAUUUGUAUUUCUGAUGUCUAACCAAAGUUUAAAUGUCCCACAGUGCCUCCUUCGACCACCAUGUUGGAACACAUUGUUCUCAUCCUCCCAUUCUACCAUGGGAAGUCUUCAAAUACUUGAGGUAGUAGCUAUCUCCCUAACUACCGGAUGAUGGCUUUGAGGCUGGUCGGUUACUUUCAACCUGGUUUAUCCAGUCUGCUGAGAUGGUUUUACUGGGAUACAACCACUUGUAUACUACAGAUUUCUUGGAACCACAGAGUCAUUGAAGUCCAGUGGCAAGGAAAAAGUCAGAAUGACUGGUGAUCACCCAGGAUACAGUGGAUGACUUUUGUGUCUUCAACAUGUCAUUAUCAAGCUCUAGGUGCUCCAGAGAGCCGUCUUCAGCUAUUACCAUGAUUAUUGGACAAAUUAUUCUCAUCUGGCCAUUCUGCAGGGGGAGUCUUGACAUGCUUGAGAUAGACAUCUCCCUAAUUUGAGAUCUGACAGAUACCUGGUUUAGCCCAUUUUACUGGUAUAUGGUCACUGUGUAUUCUACAGUUUCUUGGAGUCAAAGGUUAGAGCUAUGGUAGACACAAAGGGUGGAUAAGCAAAAUAAGCCCUGAAAAAAGCUCAGAAACCCCCUUACUAAAGGUACUAGUUUUCCUUGCACUAUAAUAAUAUGUAAUAUAAUAAUAAUAAUAUAAUAUAGGGCCUAUAUAUUAAAAAUAUAAAAAUGAAUGCUUUUAUGGAAAAAGAACUUAAUAUUUUAAUGUUUCCUAAUUUAAAAUUUUUUAUAGACAAUUCUGAUUUCAUUUCAAAGAUCUAGAUAUUUCUAAAUUUGAAUGGCUAAACAAGGUAUUUUAAGUGGGCAAAUAUGAUACAUUUUUACUCCAUAUGAAAAAUUGUGAAUAGAACUAUCUUGUAAUAAUGUAUUGAAAUGUGUUUGAACUUGAAAAAUUUUAAUAUGUUUUGGCUCUGAGUGAAUAAAGAAUUCUCUGAUUCAUCA
rnacentral:lncRNA from 1 species